rnacentral:lncRNA from 1 species
AAGAGAAAGAAAAGCAUCAUCUUUCUAAAUCAAUUCAAAAAAAAAAAAGAUUUGAAUUAUUUAAAGACCACGUUCUUACGUUUACAAUUUCAUGGGGAAUUGCUUUUUUUUUUCUUCCAAACGAUACCUUCUAUGUAAAUGUUUACCCCAAUUUUUCCAUUAAUUAUUUAUUAUUAAUAUUGAGAUCUGAUAAAUCAUUGAUAUCUAACUUUUAAAAAACUUUGGUUACUUUGAAUUUUGCUAGAGCUCUUUUUAUUGAAAAAAAGAAGGACGAAAAUAAUGCGUUAAAGUUUAUAACACCUUUCUUGGUAUGGAAAUACUAAAAAAUUGAGACACACCAUGUAUAUUCUAUAAGAACGACUACGUGAUCGACGAUCCCUUUUCACCAAAAUCCUGUUUAAUAUUCCCUUCUUGCUAUGGUGUAUCCAUCAUAUAAAUAACAACAACAAAAAAAAAGAAAAAAAAACUUACUUUCUCCAUCAUCAUCAAACACAUCAUCGAGAAAACUUUUUCCUCGCGUUUAUGGUUGCUUCCACGAACAUUAUUCGAAGAAUAAAAAGAAGAGGAAGAAGAUGAGAAGAAAGAAGAAUAGGUUUCGUAAAACUAAUGAAAAAUAAAAAAAGAAAAUUGAAGGAAGAAGAAAAUAUGAAACGAACGAAAAAUUAAUUGAUUUUGAAAAUGGGUCGUCCGACAUUUUCGAACAGGAAAACAUUUACGUGGGUGUGUGUGUGUGUCUGUGUGUGUAUGUAUAAUACACGCCGAACAAUUUUCUUUACAUUGAAAUAUCCCAUUUCGAAAAUACGCCCCUCGCGGCUAUCACCCAAUGAGAGCAAAUAUCACGGCACAAAA